GAUGAACGCUGGCAGAAUGCUUAACACAUGCAAGUCAACUGUGGCGGACGGGUGAGUCACGCGUAAAGAACUUGCCUCACAGUUAGGGACAACAUUUGGAAACGACUGCUAAUACCUGAUACUGUGCGUGAGCUUUGCGUCCCAUUAGCUAGUUGGAGAGGUAACGGCUCACCAAGGCGAUGAUGGGUAGCCGGCCUGCGAGGGUUAUCGGCCACAGGGGGAUCGAGACACGUCCCUUACUCCUACGGGACGUAGCAGUGGGGAUUAUUGUACAAUGGACCAAAGCCUGAUCCAGCUAUUCUGUGUGCACGAUGAAGUUUUCGGAAUGUAAAGUGCUUUCAGUUGGGAAUCGGUACCAACAGAAGACGCGACGGCUAAAUACGUGCCAGCAGCCGCGGUAAUUC
rnacentral:rRNA from 1 species